AGCAAUCCCACUGGCACGCUCGUCGCCAUGGCUCGGCUCCGAAGAAAACUAGGCUCGUCACUCUCUGGACUGCUGUGCGGCGGAAGGGGAGAUCGAACGCCAAGAGCUGCUCGCCAUCGCCGCCGUCUUAUAGAGGCAGAGGAGGGCGUGUAGUCUUCCUGCUGGCGCGUGACGACUAAUCUUUGCUCCGUGAGAAAGGGACAGAAUAAAAGCAGAGCGGCAUGAGCAUGAACUGUACGGGGAAAGUAAAAUGUGCCCUCAAGAACAUGUGUGUUUUAGAACAUUGAUCAUUAGAUUUACAUUGAAACAUGUACGUGCAUAUUUCUUAAUGUAAAUCUAUACUAAGAUGUAUGCACACACGCUUCUUAAUGUAAAUCAAAUGAUCUAUGCUAAGAGCACAUGCUCUCAAGGGGAAAAAAGCGUCUUUGAUCUGUAUGUCACACUUGCAGGUCAUAUAUACUACCAGCUCCAUUUUUUCAAAAAAA
rnacentral:lncRNA from 1 species